GCGAGUGUGGUGGAAUUGGUAUACACAACAGACUUAAAAUCUGUCGGCUUCUGGCCAUACGGGUUCGAUGCCCGUCUCUCGCACCA
rnacentral:tRNA from 1 species